rnacentral:rRNA from 1 species
GACGAACGCUGGCGGCGUGCUUAACACAUGCAAGUCGAACGGUGAAGCGCCUUCCUUUUUGGUGGGUGUGGAUGAGUGGCGAACGGGUGAGUAACACGUGAGUAACCUGCCCCCUUCUUCUGGAUAACCGCAUGAAAGUGUGGCUAAUACGGGAUAUUCUGGGCCUGUCGCAUGAUGGGUCUGGGAAAGAUAUUGUUUCGGUGGGGGACGGGCUCGCGGCCUAUCAGCUUAUUGGUGGGGUGAUGGCCUACCAAGGCGGUGACGGGUAGCCGGCCUGAGAGGGUGGACGGUCACACUGGGACUGAGACACGGCCCAGACUCCUACGGGAGGCAGCAGUGGGGAAUAUUGCACAAUGGGCGCAAGCCUGAUGCAGCGACGCCGCGUGAGGGAUGGAGGCCUUCGGGUUGUGAACCUCUUUCGCCAGUGAAGCAGGCCUGCCUCGUUUGUGGGUGGGUUGACGGUAGCUGGAUAAGAAGCGCCGGCUAACUACGUG